GACAGAGGGGGCAAGCGUUGCUCGGAAUUACUGGGCGUAAAGGGCGCGUAGGCGGAAUGGCAAGUCGGUCGUGAAAUCCCUCGGCUCAACCGAGGAACCGCGUCCGAUACUGGCAGGCUGGAAUCCGGGAGAGGGAUGUGGAAUUCCAGGUGUAGCGGUGAAAUGCGUAGAUAUCUGGAGGAACACCGGUGGCGAAGGCGGCAUCCUGGACCGGUAUUGACGCUGAGGCGCGAAAGCUAGGGGAGCAAACGGG
rnacentral:rRNA from 1 species